CCUACGGGUGGCAGCAGUGAGGAAUAUUGGUCAAUGGGAGGAAUCCUGAACCAGCCAUGCCGCGUGCAGGACGACGGCUCUACGAGUUGUAAACUGCUUUUGUACCGGGGUAAAAUGCUCUACGAGUAGGGUUUUGAAAGUACGGUACGAAUAAGGAUCGGCUAACUCCGUGCCAGCAGCCGCGGUAAUACGGAGGAUCCGAGCGUUAUCCGGAUUCAUUGGGUUUAAAGGGUGCGUAGGUUGUUUUAUAAGUUAGCGGUGAAAUACCGAUGCUCAACAUCGGGGCUGCCGCUGAUACUGUAGGACUAGAGAUCGGAUGCAGCAGGCGGAAUGUGUAGUGUUGCGGUUAAAUGCAUAGAUAUUACACAGAACACCGAUUGCGAAGGCAGUUCACUGGACUGCAACUGACACUGAGGCUCGAAAGUGUGGGUAUCAAACAGGAUUAGAUACCCCAGUAGUC
rnacentral:rRNA from 1 species